CUAGGAUGAUGAUGAGGAUGAUGAUGAUGAUAAUAAUGGUGUGAGAGCAUUAUGUUUUUUUGGUGUCAUCGUCAUUAUCAUCAUCAUCAUCAUCAUCAUCAUCA
rnacentral:miRNA from 1 species